rfam:Schistosoma rodhaini strain Burundi genome assembly, scaffold: SROB_scaffold0010847
ACCCAGCUGACGAGUCCCAAACCAGACGAAAUAAGCGUCCUGGAU